GGGGGUAUAGUUCAGGGGAUAGAGCAUUCGACUGCAGAUCGAGAGGUCCUCGGUUUAAAUCCGGGUGUCCUCU